rnacentral:rRNA from 1 species
GACAAACGCUGGCGGCGUGCUUAACACAUGCAAGUCGAACGCUGAAGCUUGGUGCUUGCACUGGGUGGAUGAGUGGCGAACGGGUGAGUAAUACGUGAGUAACCUGCCCUUGACUCUGGGAUAAGCCUGGGAAACUGGGUCUAAUACUGGAUACGACAUGCCACUGCAUGGUGGUGUGUGGAAAGGGUUUUACUGGUUUUGGAUGGGCUCACGGCCUAUCAGCUUGUUGGUGGGGUAAUGGCCUACCAAGGCGACGACGGGUAGCCGGCCUGAGAGGGUGACCGGCCACACUGGGACUGAGACACGGCCCAGACUCCUACGGGAGGCAGCAGUGGGGAAUAUUGCACAAUGGGCGGAAGCCUGAUGCAGCGACGCCGCGUGAGGGAUGACGGCCUUCGGGUUGUAAACCUCUUUCAGCACGGAAGAAGCGAGAGUGACGGUACGUGCAGAAGAAGCGCCGGCUAACUACGUG